AGAGUUUGAUCCUGGCUCAGGAUGAACGCUGGCGGCGUGCCUAACACAUGCAAGUCGAGCGAUUUACUUCGGUAAAGAGCGGCGGACGGGUGAGUAACGCGUGGGUAACCUGCCCUGUACACAUGGAUAACAUACCGAAAGGUAUGCUAAUACGAGAUAAUAUACUUUUAUCGCAUGGUAGAAGUAUCAAAGCUCUGGCGGUACAGGAUGGACCCGCGUCUGAUUAGCUAGUUGGUAAGGUAACGGCUUACCAAGGCGACGAUCAGUAGCCGACCUGAGAGGGUGAUCGGCCACAUUGGAACUGAGACACGGUCCAAACUCCUACGGGAGGCAGCAGUGGGGAAUAUUGCACAAUGGGCGAAAGCCUGAUGCAGCAACGCCGCGUGAGCGAUGAAGGCCUUCGGGUCGUAAAGCUCUGUCCUCAAGGAAGGUAAUGACGGUACUUGAGGAGGAAGCCCCGGCUAACUACGUGCCAGCAGCCGCGGUAAUACGUAGGGGGCUAGCGUUAUCCGGAAUUACUGGGCGUAAAGGGUGCGUAGGUGGUUUCUUAAGUCAGAGGUGAAGGGCUACGGCUCAACCGUAGUAAGCCUUUGAAACUGGGAAACUUGAGUGCAGGAGAGGAGAGUGGAAUUCCUAGUGUAGCGGUGAAAUGCGUAGAUAUUAGGAGGAACACCAGUUGCGAAGGCGGCUCUCUGGACUGUAACUGACACUGAGGCACGAAAGCGUGGGGAGCAAACAGGAUUAGAUACCCUGGUAGUCCACGCCGUAAACGAUGAGUACUAGCUGUCGGAGGUUACCCCCUUCGGUGGCGCAGCUAACGCAUUAAGUACUCCGCCUGGGAAGUACGCUCGCAAGAGUGAAACUCAAAGGAAUUGACGG
rnacentral:rRNA from 1 species